UCCGUUCGCUUUACUGAGACCAAAGGAAGGAAAUUUUGAUUCUUGCUUUGACAUUUUGCUGAUCCAUUCUUGGAACACCGGUUACAAUUGAGAUGGAUUUGAAAUCUUGUUUAAUCCCUGCAAUUUCUACAUUACGAUACUGCAUGUUGUUCUUAGAGUACGAGGCGAGGUUGAGGCAGUAAGCUUGGGAAGAGCUUGCAGCCGGGAGCUUGAGCAAAAGUUGGUAUUUUUGCUUGUCUAUAAUGUGUGUAUCACGGGGUUAUCUGGGUAGUCUAUUUUGCUUAUCUCCCAUGUUAUUUUGAUGUGUUUUGCGGUUGUAUAUAUGAUGGGAUAUGGUAAAAAAAGUCUUUGUUUCUUUCGUAAAUGAAAACUUCGUUAUGCCGCAAACUGAGGGUCUGGUUUUGUAUGUUGUCUACAUGUUGGCAGGUUUUGAUGUUUAUAUCACUCUCUGUAUGGAGAUUUCUUGUUGACUAGUAUAACUACAUUACCAAGU